CACCUGCGCGUCCGUCAUCUUGAGCGACUUGGCGAGGGCGGCGCGCUCGGCCGAGGCCAGCAGCCCACACAAUAAUUCGCACCCACCGCAGAAUGAGAUUAAGUGCUCCACGCAAAACCCGGGGCCAGUGCCGGCACGAGCCGCGCCGUGUACGAGGGAUUUUGUUUGGGCACGCGCUGAACUCUUUACGAUCCCCGACAGGUGAAGAUGAAUCUGCUAAAUUGUCUGGUUUAGAUGCAGGCUUUCAUCUUCAUUGUGCCACACACCUUUCUAAAUACGGGGUAUAAGUCUCCGUUUCUGCUUUCUUUUUUGUAGUGGUGGGCGGAUUUAAUUCUUCUUCAGCAGUGUUUCAACAUGUAACAACUGUUAAAUUUUCUUCCGUGCUUUUUCAGUUCCCAAGGACCUGGAAAACGUGUACUUGUGAAAUUAAAGUACUACCAGUAUUUUAUUAAGGGUCAUUACAUUACCCCUUAUUUUAUUACAUGCAACAUGCUGGAUUUCCAUGUCAUAUUUAUAGGCUAAAAAUGCUUAUUUCAAGUCUUCUGCUUCGUUGCCCACCUUGUCACAAUCCUCCUGUGCUGAAAAGAAAUGUAUAACAUUUUGUAGAAAAAUAAUAAUUUUAUUAUUUCAAAAAGAUGUCAUAUAAAAUUUGUACUGUUUUUAUCUCAUUUUCAAACAAAUAUGACCUCAGUGAAAGUGAGCUUGGAUUUUUUCAGUAAUCAGAAAUAUCACUUACUAAUAUAUAUAGAACUGAGAAUCAUUAACUAAUACAAGUUUAGAAGCAAUGCAUAUUUAUUUUGUUCUUUGGUUAAGUACUGUUUCUACACCAUUUCAGAAAGAUAAAAGAACAAGAUAAUAAAUUUUGAUAAGAAAGGCUGAAAAUGUUCUUCAAGCUAAGGCUGAUUUUACAUCGUUUUCACUAUUAUAAAUCCUUACGUUUAAGCCAAAGAUAUAAAAAGGCAGAAGUUAUCUUAAAAAAAUAGUCUUCACAAGGGUCAAAAUCUAUCUAACAAUAUAGUGGGGCUCCAAAACUUUCAAAGUUGGUGUAUUAGCCAGUGCUCUGGUUUCCAAAGUCAUUGUCAACUCAUCAUAUCUAAAUUGCUGGGAUCUGAGGCCCCUUCAUUGCGCAGAGCUUCAGCCAUGUCUCUUCGAAAGACUGACAUGUUUUGAGUGAACCUGGAAAAAGGAAAUCCCAAAUGUUUGGUUAAACAAAACCUGUUACUGGAGAUUUUUUAAAAAUAAUUGGAAAAAAAGAGUAACUUAAAUGUAAAUUGAAAGACAAACAGAGGAAAACUUGCGAACAAAAUCCCUAGGUGCCCUCAAAAAUCAGUCCUAUAAAAUAACAGUGAACAAGUAAACAUAUACGGACAGCAUUACAAACUCAGCCUACCAAGAAUGAAACAUUUGAAAAGGCAGUUGGGAAGUGAAUGCAAUGGGCAACCUUUCCAUCUCACACGACUCGGGACGUGUCCUCAUGCUCCCCAAACUCUGCUAAAGGGCUCUCUGCGACACGUCCAGAUGGUCAUCAAGUCACGGCUAUCUCAGACCUACCUUCCUUUCUCAGGGAGUGGUAUCAGAGUACAACCCGUCUCUCAGUGAAAUGUGCUACCACUAUCCAUCUGGCACAGAAUGAAUUCACCAAAAUAUUCCCAAACAACUCUCUGCUAGGUGUAGGAGGGGAAGUCCAUCCGGUGGUAUCACACCUCAACCUCAGUGACAGCUCUGACUUAGCCUUUAUAACAGUCUGAAUCUGAUCUACUUCACUGGUCUAUCUCUGCUCGAAAUGAGGUGUUUAAUUGCUAUUUAUCACAUGUAAUAUAUAUAUAUAAACAAAAAAAACCCAAAAUAAUUUAAAAAGUUAGAAACAUACAUUGCACCCCCUCCAUUUAGGGUGUUUCUUUUGUUUGCAGCCUUAACACUCUGCUUCAGUUGUGUCAGACUUUGCAGGCUCACUAGAGUGAAGCUGAUGAGCAGCUCGUUAGGGUUCCUGCCUGCAAAGGACUCGGUGUGCACAAGCGCUUACAAAUCUGAGGGAUCUCAGGAAAACUCUCUUUGCAGGACCAGGGCUAAUAAUCCUUCCUGACUGGCCUCACUGUAGUAUACUUUAUGGGUACGUGUAGCAGCAAUGUGGUAAACUGGGGCUUGUGCGUGGAAAUACAGGAUGCAAUUACGAGUUCAUUCUUUAUUCUAUUCAUAAUUUUCUACUUUUGCGUUUCUUUCCUUACUAAUGGAAAUUGAUUUCUGCUCAAAUUUAAACAAACGCAGUUAAAAGAAGCCUCCUGCUCCACAGAAUAAAUUCGAGUAUGAUUACAAAUCAAGAACUGAAAACAGAAAAACCAUUGUAUUAAGUCAUGCCGCUUGUUGGGGAAGUGGUGGCUUAAGAGUCUUCCCAAGUCUGACAGGCGGAUGCUGCUGAGACAGAAGAGCUGCUCGUUCUGCUGAACUAUCUAUGUCCCCUUUCCACCUGCACCCCGUGCCGCCCCACCUGCACUUCCACAAAAGCUCUCGAGCGCUUCCUCCCCGCAGCCUAUUUUAGACUACUCCGCAGAACUUGGAGAGGAAAAUGCGCUUUGGAGAGCGGGAUUUCCCCGCACUGUCUGCCUAACGCCCCUCGAUGCCAGCCUGGAGGUGGCAGGGGAGUUCAGCCUUUUGUCCAUUCACCUUCCCUGAGCUUAGACUAGAUCAUUUAAUGAUCCCUUUUCUGGCCUUAAAAUCGACAGGUCUCAGAAUGAGGCAGCUCAGAGAAAGUGCCUAUCAAAGUAUGCUUUCCUCAGAAACGAAUCUUAUCUUAAGGACUUCUUCUCUUCAAUAAAUAAAAUAGAUAGGGAACUAAGAAACCAUCUAGCUGAAAGAACGAGUUUUGCUGAAUUUUUCAUUUGUUCUUUUUUUUCUUUUUUCUUUUCUUUAAUCCUGAAGGACUGCUCAGUCAAAUGAAUCCCCUUGGAAUUUACAGCUGUACGGUCAGACUGUGUCCUACAGCCUGCCGCUAUCAGCUUGGUUUUCCUUGGUUUUAACAGACGUUGUCCUUUCCUAAGGCACUCCGCCUUUUCCCCCGGUCUGCCUAUCCGUAAUACAGAGGAAGCCACACAAAGUCAGGCUGAGGGUCACAGAUGCGAACUCUGUACUCUUUCAGGUUUGUUUCCAAAUCCAUAUCCUCCUUUCUCUGGUUAUCGCCCACAGUGAGACCACAGAGAAUUUACACAUUUAAUACUGGAAUUGAAUAGGCAAAUGAAACAAAAUUGUGAAGACUAUAAUUAAAGCAAAAUUAUUUAAGCAUUGAACAAGGUCAACAAAAUUUUCACAGCAACAACAAAAGAUUACGACCCAUCUGAGAUUUCUGACUUUUAGGAUUUUGACAAGCUGUAAUUCCUCCCAAGAAGUUAGAGAAAUAAAAUCACCAAAUGGUUUUAGCCAUCAUUUCUCUCCAAGACCUUUUCCAGCUUGUUUCAAGCCUGCUGGGAAGUUCUACAGUCUGGACUGACAUUACGUCUCUAUACUUUGAAGAUUUUUGCUUUGGAUGAAUAAUGCACAUGGAGUAGAAAAAGCAGCUAGCUAAUAACAAAAAGCUAGCGUGACUAUUAACUGCAGCCAGACUCCCCACUUCUUUUGUGGUGACUUCCAUUCUAAUGAGGGCAAGAUCGGGUGAAUUUAUGAUUCAUGUUAAAAACAUCCUUGCCAUGUUAAUCGUCAAUGUGUAACUGGCCCUACUGGAUCCUUUCCCAUGCUGUCAUCCCACAAGCAGUUGCCUAAGCCCAACAUCAGCCAGAAAAGGCUCUGUCAGAAGAGCAGCACCAAUGGAUGCUGAAGGAAGUGCUUUGUCAGAGAUUUAAGGUCCAAAAAGGGGAGCUCUUGGGCUCACCUGCUGUAAUGAUGCAGUUUUUCCCAAGCAAAUAAAGCAGCAGAUGUGGCCUGGCAAACCUAGACUUUGUGAUUAAGCAAGGAAAUACAUUUCUGGCUAAGAAAAUACAAUUAUUAAAUAUUCAGGCUCUAACUGGUAAGUCUAAGGAUGAAUUCUUUGAUAGAAUAGUAUCUUUUAAAAGAAAGCUAAAAGGAAUUGUAGCUUAAGGCCACCCAGAUUACUUUCUACGUUAUAUUUUUUUCCAGUUAAAGGUUCUGCUUGUCUUUUAUUCUUUCAGCUCACUGUUGUGUUAUGAACUUACCUGUCUCUGUUCUUUACCAAAAGAUUUUGCUCAACUCCUUCCAUUAGAUUCCUAAAGCACUGGUCAAGGACUUCACGUUUGUUGUCCGGCUGACUGGCUAUCAAGGUUGCCCUUAGUUCACUGAAGUACUAUGAUAAAAAAAAAAUAAAAGAAAAAAAGAGAACAUUUUUAAAUGAGGGCUGGAAAUUUAAAAACAGAGUUACACACCUAUGCCUGCAGUAUUCUUUAGCAAGUGCUUCACAUGGUGCUCUCUGUGAGCUACUGAUGGCACUGCUUGUCCUGGCGGAUCAUUUCAGCAACACUGCUCCCAAGCACUGCUCUGCCUUUGAAGGGGCCCUUUUCUCUUCUGUUUUUUUCAUUUCAAAUUCAAAUUCUACUCUCAGAAAGAGGAGAUGGUGAGCUGGGAAACUCCCAAUGCAAGGAACUGCAGUUACAAGCAAGUAACUUUCCUUUCUUUGUCCAAGGUCUUCUGUAGAUAAUCAUUCUUGGGAGUCUGGCAAGCAACCCUAUUUGAAGAGGGUUUCAGAUACUGCUUUCCUGAACUGCACCAACCUAAUGACUAAAGCCUUGUGAUACUGCCCUGGUUGUCCACCUUACGAGUUUCAAAUGUAGGAACACAUCUCAGAGAGGUGGCAGAAACCUUCUCUAGCUGACUGCUCUAUGCCUUUUUGGAAUGGUGAGAAGCUGUGCACUUCACUGUGGAAUCUAACCCACUUCAGUGCUGCGGUGAGACUGGCACACCUUUCCUUCUUUAGAGACUAAAUAGUCUAUAUGAUUUUCUGUAUUCUUCUCCCCAUUACACUCUGGCAGAUCUAUGGACUAGUUAAAAUAGAACUUGUCACCACCUUAGGACAAAUUUUGGCUUAGUCUAGAAGUACAGAACUGGAGGGACCUUCCCAGGUAUCAACUACCAUGCUACUGCAGCCAAGCAAAUCACAUAAUCCUGUUUAGUCUUUAUUAUAUUGGCUGUGUCAGUCAAACUCCUAGGGCCUUGGGCACAAGCACAUCCAUGGUAGGAACACUGAUACAGGCAAUUAUUCAGAGGAGACCGAUCCAUUCUGAUGAAUCUGGGCUCAGGUACCCAGCAAAAUGUUGGGGCAGUCUGAUACUGUAAUCAAGAAGGAAGGAACGUUGCUGGUACAAUAUACCCCAUUUUACAGUAUCUUCUCCCUGUCUAAGCAUUCAAGAGACAGGAGGAACAGUGGUUAUAUCUCCAGACACUGCUAAUAGAAAGUUCCACCAGUCCAAACUGCAUCAUCAGUAACCAAAAGUCAAAGAUAUGCAGAAGCCAUGCCAAAACAAAUGUGGUCUUUAGGCUGAAGAAUGGUUACAAAUAACUACAGAUAAAGUGACCUUACUUGUAACUGCUCAACUGAUUCUGUCAAAGGCGUACUAGCACAUGUAGAAGAGCCUAAAUUCAUGCCCAAAUUGAAGGUGCAAGAAAACUUGCUAAUGAUGGGCUGAAAAUCAGUUUUCAGUAUUCAAAACAUGGUAGACUUUUGAAGUUAAUUUAACUUAAAAAAUAUAUCAGGUUGCAUGGUAUUGCACAGACAGUUAAAAUGCACAGCGGUCUGGGAUUUAACAGGUUUCUGUAAAACUUGUUAAACAAAUCUCAUAUUAAACACAUAAGUUUCCCAUCAAAACUACUGCUCUUCUGUAUACAAGAAAAAUUCUGGGGUAACAAAAGAAUCUUUAGUAAAACCUUAAAAUUCUAAAGCUAUGCCCUGACAAAUCAACAGGAUUACAGGAAGUGCACAUCUCUAAUAUCUGCUUGCAAAAUUACUUGCACUCAAUCAACUUUCUUUUGAACCAGAAAGAGCCUCUAUUAUGCAUCUUUGCUAUCCACAACUAGCACAGUCUUGCCAGUAAAGGCAGCAGCUGAUCAAAUAACUGGGUCCCAAACUACCUAGGAACUCAAAAUUUAAAAUCACCUGGGAGCUGGGGUAAAAGAUGGAAUAUCUGCCUGCGACAAAUCCAUGCCAGUAGCCUAGUCUCAAGGUGACAAAUGCCUGGCUACAUUUGGAGAAGGCCACAACCCCAAGACUUUGUCCAUUGUCCAUCAGUUGUUUUUGCAACAGGUGUAUUCCAAGAAUUUCUUUAGAGUCAACUCCAUAAUGGAAAGUAUGAACAACACCCUCAAGUAAGAGCAAAGAAAACUAUCUUUACCAGCGGCCUGACAUUAAUGAUUAGCGCACCUCCGCUGGCAUCAGCGAUCCAACCUUGGGGAGCUGCUCUAAGCCCCAGGGUGUUGUUCUUCGGUUGAAGGACAACAGCUAAAAAGGGACAUGGUUGCUACCCGAUCAGAAUACGGAGGGGUUUUUCUGCCAAUCUCUUGCCACUAUGAUUCAAAUUAAACUUGCUGCUGCUGCACUGAAGUAAGGGGACAAUGUCAGGAGCUACUUGUCACCAACACGUUGCACAGCAAGCUGACACGAUCUCAAAAAAUUCAGCAUCAUUUUAGGGUGGGCUUCAAAGGACAAUUCCCAUUUUGGCAUAGCUGCCCCUACGGGGACAAGGACGUGUAAAUCCCAAUCCUUCUGAGUCCCUGAGUAAAGCUGAUCCCUUCCUUUUGAGAUGAAUUACAGCAAAGAAGAUCCCAUUAAAACAAAGGCGGGGGAGAACAAGCAGUAAAAAUAAAACACAGUGUGUGCUUGCUAUCACAGGAGCUGUGGAGACAGAGACCCAACCUGAAAUAAAGAAACCCAUUUUCAAUAAUGAAACCAGCAGUGCACUGAAAUGAGCUAAGGAAAGACAACUUUUACAGCCAUGUAAGCAGGCUUCCUACUUUUUCUGGGGCCCUGCCGAACAAGAAAUAAAUACACUUGAUGCAAAAGGGGCAACACAAAUAGUGUAAAUUACAUUUCCUUUCUCCACCCUUCGACAAGAAAUGCAGGACUUGUUCCUAAGUAAAGGCGCUUGUACAUGUCCAUGUCUGCUAAACAAAACACAUAAUCAUGAGAACUAGUCUAAUUUCAGUAGAAAGAAUAUUCUGCCAGUCACAAAUUUAUUCCUUAUGAUUUACAGCUCCAUGGUUUUAUCUUCAAGUGAAAUAUUUAAUUUCUUCUCAUACUGAAGCAGCUAACAUCAAAAACACAUAAUUAAUAUAUAGUCAGGCUAAUACUUAAAUGCUAUAAAUCAGAAGCAUUAUAUAAACAAAAGUGUCGUCUUGAACAAGAUUGGGAAUGCACAAAACUACUUAUUUCCCACUUUUAUAAUGAUGCAGUGACUCAGAGCAGAUAGAAAAUGAUUAGUUUUCCUUCCAAAGUAGGAAAUAUUGCUUCCAUCUGUAAAGUAUAAUAUUGUGAUGUCAUAAAGUUUUCCUAAACACUGAAUUUGCCCUUAUUCCCUCUCAAUCAUUUUAAAAGAACUGCUCCCUCUUAUAGAGCUUGGAUUUAAAUCACAAUAACACACCAAGAAGAUGAAUGACAGUGCUAUUGGAUAUGGCUAAAAUUGGAUCCUUCAGCACAGGUGAAUGAUGAGACAGCGCUUCUCUUCUUGAUAUAUUUUCUUCUUCUAUUAGUUUCCUUCCAUAGCUGGGAUUUCAGUUUGAAUUUUAAUGUAUGCAGUUGCUGCUAAUCUUAGUGUCUUAUUUUUUUCCAGCACCCUCUUAUUGUAUAGACAAUUCAUUCUCCAAAACAGUAAUACACUGAGGCUUGUGACUGCCCAAGAGAUAAAGCAAUUCAGAAUAAAGUUAGAGCUAGCUCUGAAGUAUGGAGAAUACAACAGGUCAGUAUCUUCAGAAACAAUGCCUUGCCACACAAAAAAAUGUGCACAUUUAGAUCAGCUCAUACUCAUUUACUCAGAUGGUUUCCAUUUGAGACAAUAUUGUCUAUACUAAGUCAUGAGGGAAACAUGAUGGGUAUAUCCAAAUUCAUAGUUUCAGAUUUUAUUGAAAGGGCAAACUGCAGAAUAUUUCCUGAUUUACAGACUCUGCCACAGAUGCACACAAUCUAAACUGCAAUCAGUGCGAGUGCUUAAAUGUAAAGGCUUAGAUAAUCCCCCCCAGCCAGUUGUUCUUGUGAAAUGUUCCAGAAAAAAAAAAUUCGUUAACUAUUUUUUAGGAAGCAAUUUUUCUGAUGCGAUUUCCAUAGUGUUCCUGUUUCAGAUUUCUGUUGAAAAGCCACAUGAGCUUGUAUAAUUUCAGUUUCUGCUUAAUUCUGGAAAAGUAAAGAUCCAACAUUUUUUUAAAUAAAAAGUUAACUAUACUUUCACAAUCUAAGGCUGGACAUAAAUUUUGGGGUAAAGGUUUGAGAGGAUUUUUCCAUCCAAACGAAGCCACUCGGCCUUUGCGAAUGAAUCUGUAAACCUAUGAAGUAGAUGAGUUGAAUACUGCUCUCUACUCUUAGUGUGGGCAUAAGGGAGCAAAGUCUCAAGGAAAGAGAUGGAGGAUUUGAAAGAGCAAUGGGCAGCUUUGUACAAUAUAGCAUAAUGUAUUUGAACUACUUGGGCAUGUGAAGAGUGAAUCUGGCAGAAUAUCUGAAAUACUCACUUUCUCAUUGAGGAGUAUAAGUCCUAGCAGUGGUCUUGACACAGACCAUUGGUUUCUGCAGUCUUCAAAAAUGAUGGUGUUCAUUAGGAUUGACAUCAUCUGAAAGAAAAUUCAGAUGGGUUACGUGAAUUUGGAUACUGCUGUUAUACUGUAUGAUUUGGAGAGAAGGAAAAAUUAAUGAUGCCUUGACUAACCACGCUGAAGUCUCGUACAGGACUGUGACAUCACACAAGUGAUCCUUCAAAAUAACUAUUUCCAUAACCAGAACUACUACCUGGAGAAAGCUGAAGAAAAUGGAUGUCAAAGGCCUGCUCCAAAGAAGAAGUUGUAAUCACAGAGGAUGAAACAAAUAUGAACUGAGAUUUAGAGUUGCGUUCAUUUAAGAUACAGACUUUGAUAUCGCUCCAGGGAUCUGCCCCUUUGUCACACUGCUUCCAGUAGAGUAAUACAUAUGUAAGCAGUAUUCUAUAUUAGUUUCAGAUUAACCCCUAGGUGCUAUUCAAGAUUCUGUUUUUUUCAGACCCACCUUUCUUCUUGAAUGAAACUGCAAGGCAUUUGAACGGAGCACUCCCUAUUUUGAUGGAGGCAAUCCUGGUACAGCAAAGAGUCUACAAAUCCACAUACCAUUUCCACCUCAGUUACAAAUCCUGCAUGUGAUCUUUGAUAUUUUACUUCUGCGACUUAAUCUAUGGAGCUCUGCGGCAGGGAUAAAGCCACUCAAUAAGCUUUUGAAAGCACUGAGAUCUAUCAGUGCAUACAAUUAAGUACUAUUAGCAUCCAAAUAAAUGAUAUGGAGCUCCCUUUGCGGGCUGGUUGGCAUGUAACCAGAGCCUUCAGAUCAGGCCACAAGGAGUAUUCUUCUUCUGAGGCCUUUUCUGGGCUUGCUGUGCAGCUAUACCUCUGCCAGCAUGUAGCUAGGAAGGGUAGACUUAUUUUAGGGAUUGGCACAACUUUUGCAAAAAGAACUAACAAAAUAACUAUAGAAUCCAUUUACAGAUAAAAUGCUCUGACAUAUCCUUGAGACACGUUAGUCCAAAAUGCCAAAGGCCACAACAUAUACGAACCUAAAAACGUUACUCAGAGAUUAAACAGAGUGAAAAUUUGUAAAAUGUCACCAGUAAAUAGUUUGACUCACAUUUAUAAAAUAUCUACACCCUAAAACCAAACACAGAGGAAGUAGAAAGUCAUUAAAUCCUUUCUUCUAGGCCAAUGAGUAGCUAUGAGCAGGGUCUCCAGAGAGCUGCCACACUGCAAACUAGCCUGUAAUAACUGACCAAGCCUAAAUCAAACAGCAUGUUUCACUAAAUGAAAAAGAUGAAUCCUAGCAGUACAGAUCACCUGCAACAUAGAAAAUAGAGAUAUCCACAAAUUAUUUGAGCUUUCAAGUUAGGAACACAUGCUCUGGCGUGGGAAAGGCCAAUCUUUCACCUGACUUCCCAGUUUACCUGCCAGGCAAACUAUUUUUCCAUUACUCAUAGGACAAAAACAAUUCUAUAUUGCUUUGGUAUUCACACAAACAAUUCAAAAACUCUGUGCAAGCCCUAAUAGAAACUUGCUUUCCAAUCAUGAACAGUAAUUAUAAUUUCUUAUAAUUUCAUUCAUCUCCAGGUUUUCACCUUGGCAGCUUGCAACAAAGCCAGCUGUUAGGACAGAAGCGUUUCUUAAGUAAUGAAACAAAACCACCUGAAUUGUAAUUUAGUCGGCGCACCAAGACUGGCAUACCUAUAUUUCUUAGAAAAAGUGCAAUACAUAUAGAAAGACUUCCAAAAUGAUGCUUAACCUAAAAAUGGCAUGCUCAGCGACAAGUACGCAUCUGACCCAGAGGGAGGAGUGCCAGCUCUUCAAACUCCAACAACUCAUGAGGAUGCCUUUAAGGUCUCUAGUCCUGAAUUGCUACUAAAUUGCAAAUGAACGGCAAAGAAAAUAUCCUGGAAAGUUUUUGGCCUAAAUCUGGAAACCCACCUGCACAUUCACCAGGGAAACACUUACUUGUCUCUGUGCAUAAGCAGUUCAGCCAGUACUGAAAUACAGCAAGGAAUACAAUAUAUUGUUACAAUACAUAAUAACAAAGCUGAGACAUAAAAAGCAAUCUACAUAAAACUGAUAGGAUAGGAAGCAGCGAGAGCUUCCCUCCCAGUUGCAAGUAUUUCCUUUGACAAGAUCCAGCAUCAAAUGUUUUUAAUUUCACUUCUGGCUCUAAGGAUUAGCAAAAGACAGCCUUUGCAGCACUCAUGAUCAGCGUAGGAGCAACCUAGCGUUCAAGAUUUAGCCAGGUCUCUUAGACUACACAUAACUACCUACAUGUGUGUAUGUCUGUUUUCUGCAUGGACCAGUCUAUUCCCUUCAAUUAAAUUAGUUACAAUGCUGCCAAGUGCUGAUACUUUUCACACAAAGUUGUCUCUGUGCAGAAAAGCUGCGAGGACUAGCAGUACCAUAGUAGUAAUAAGAGCAAGGUUGUAAAACCUGCCCGUGAGCUCUCUGGAACAGUGAUUAACACUGCUCAUGAAGUUACAUAACUUUAUUACUUUCAGAGGUAGACAGUUUGGAGUCCAAUCAGGUUGUCUUUGCAGAUGUCUUCCUCCUUCAAGGGUGAAAAAUCGAGCAGGUAGAUGGCUCAGCAUUAUGAGAUGCAAGCAUAAAAUCGGGGCACACCUAUCUACCCUAUCAAGACCUCUGUCUGAUGCAGUCAAGGGCAUAUUACAUCAUUAACAAAAACCAACUGGCAAUUACUGAGCCUAAUUCCACCACAACGAAGGACAUCAAAAUCCAUGAUAAAGGCCUUAAACCUCCUUUGCCCAUUUUCCAUGUUUCCCCAUUACAACCACUGCUGCUGCUUUGCUUUACUCUUUGGGUUUGGCUUCCUGUGCUACUUCCACAUAAGCCCACAACAAGCUGUUGGCAUCCCAGAUCCUUCUUCGUUUUACAGUACUGCGGACACACUCCAAAAGAGACUGCGUAGUGCAAACAAGCAAUAGGAGACUUGCUGUAAAGACCUUACGUCUAAGUGAUGCGGUCUGCACAAAUUCACACGAAAGGUUUAGUCUACGCUCAUGCUACUUUUUAAUGAAGCUUUGCCUCAGCAAACAGCACAUUUACUGAUGACACAUGCGCGUUAAACUCUUUCUCAGGAAGAGGUAUCAAGCUUUCAUUUAAUUUCACUAACUCUCCAUCCCCUCUCUUUACCCUUUUCACAUAGUGUAGAACAGCUUCUUCCUACGCUGACAAGUGACAUCCUCAGCUUUCUCCUUCAGACCUCACGUGACCAAUGACUUGGCUCUGUUGCUGCUAUCUGGUGUAACCAGGAGAAACAGGCUGAUCCACGAUCUAGUUUCUAGAUACUUCACACACAGCUCCACGUACGUGAACACGCUUGUUGCUCCCCUGAGUUGUUCAGAUCAUGAAGGAAUUGAGCUCUUUGAGCUUCUGAAGGAGGCGCUGAAAUAAUGUCUCCCUCUUCAUAUUGUAUUUGUCAACACACAUUUACAUACACCUGUGUUUAUGAGGGCAACAUGUACAGAAACCUUAACCACAAUUUUAUGACGAUGAAAUCUUUCUCAAUAACAUACAGAAAUGAGGAGAUAAAUACACUUAACGAGCUGACACCGCUGCCCCACUGUUGCUAACGCUACUAGCUUAUCAGCUGGACCAAACUACACAUGCCAAGUGUGCAGCAGUAAAGAACGGCAGCAGCGUUUGUAUUUUUUAGUUCUUUUGAGAACUGCAAAGCAUUUCCCGGAUGCUAGCUAGCUUCAAAAUGUGCUACGGAGAUACCUCAGUGUUACUAUCACAUUUUACAGAGGGACUGACUGACUCAGGAUCAAAGGCUGUAUGCAAAAGCCACAGGGAUACAGAAUGACCUGGAGCACCUCCUCAGCCUUCUCAGCUUCCUUCCUGCCACCACCAAACCUUGGCCGUGCUGCUGCUACAGUCCCCAGGGCUCCCAAGGGAGCAGCAGCAGGAGGUGGGGUUCGAGUGGACUUGCCCGCAUUUAGUGUGCAGGCACGAGAGGGACACCCAGGCUAAGAUGCACCUGUCUGGUGCCACCUUUGCCAAAAGUCUCAUCAAACAAUUGGAGAUCACAAACCAACUCAAUGGCAAGACAAAGCACAGAAGUAGAAUUCAUGGAACGUAUAGAUUUCCUUUUUUCUAGGUGGAAAAUACCCUAUUUGUUGAAAGUAAAGCAUUUUCUCAGAUCCCGCAUAUGAUUUCGGGUCGCAACUCCCUUCCAGCACUGCCUUUCCUUCCCGCGUCAGUCAUCAGGGCAGCCAGCUACGACCUGAACGACUCAAUUCCCUGCUCUCAUUCCAGCACAAAACACAAAGUCUCAAGGUGAGGAAAGAGACAUUAAAAAAGAACGGGGUGGGGGAGUAGAUGAUCUGUUUUCUACGUGGUUCAAACCAGAAACGUUGCCUCUGGUUCUCUUAGCCUAAACAUGGGGCAUCACUUUAUUUGGUUCAAUAAUGUUUCUCCUGACACAUUUACUCUUUAUGAAAGAAACUAUUGACAAAAGAGGUAAGGGUAAAGAACUGUUCUUCCAAUAAAUUAAUUCUUCACAGCCUCUUUCCCUUCAGAGCCUCUUUCCUUCUUGGGUGGAGGAGGAAAAUGUUGUUCAAGACACCACUCAUUAUGAAAACUUUUUCUAAAGGAAGCUGGGAAAGUAGAUGCCUUUCCAUUAAAAAGCCUUUUGGCUGCUUCAUAUUAUCAACAGAAUAGCACUCGCAUCAUAGCAGGUCCCAUAACUCAUGUCCCUCUCCCAUAUGUUGGUAUGAAUAUUUUAUUCUGCAGCAACUAAUCACGUUUUUAACAUAGAGAAGAUGACAUAACGCCAGAGACAGCAUUAUGUAAUGCUUUACAAAAGAUUUGGAAGGAUCUAAAAACAUAAAGAGCCUUUAACCAAACACCCGGAUGUAAUGAAGAGACAGCUAGGUUCAGGCCUUUGUGAAACGCAGCUAGUGUCGUCGCCAAGCAAGAUCCGUAGCAGGCUUUUCCAGCCUGCGCAGUAAGGAGCUCUCCCUCCUCGCAGAACCGGCACUCUACACUGAGAGGUGACACCAGAAGAAGUCGGUGUCUGCUACCAGCAUCUCCAAACAAACAACCAGUCACAGAUUACUUAAUCCUCUCGGGAGGAGAGAACAGCAGUUUCACCUACAUCAAUUGCCUUCAGCAAGAGCAUCUCCAGGAAUGAAAAUGCUCCUGUACCUAAAUCUUCCAUUUGUUCCCUCAGCUGGUGCUAGGACUUGCAGUGUAUAUAUUCCUUAAAACUCCUCGAAUGUGAGCUGUCACCGUUCUCUUCUCCAGCUCCUGAGAAACGCACUGGGGCCCUCCCUUGCAUCAACUGCUGGGAGUGGGAGCACAAAAACAGCUGGGGAUUUUCAACGCAGCAGUAGGAUUUCAGCAUAGGAACUGCAAACUUCACCUGUGGGAUCAUUACUUUUCUGACCUCUCUAUUAACAGGAAGGCCUUCCAAGAUGCCAGUCAUGUGGGGAGGGAAGAGAAGACCAGAGACUGCCAUCACUGGAAAAACAGAAGUGUUUAGUCUAAAACCAGUUGGAGGUUAAUCUCCAACAUCAUCUACAGAAACGUUCUACGUAUGGGCAAAGCUACCUACGGAGGGAAAGGAAGAGCAAGAGAUGAACUCUAAAUUCCUAGUCCAAGGAACUUCAAGGUAUCUCACCCUGAGCAUGGGCUUAUCGCCGAGUCUGAGCUUGACUUGGGCUGCUGUUGAGCAGAAGCACGCUUGUGUUUGAGCAAGGCUCAGCGCGGUCCUCAGGGACAAACCCUGCACACUGCAGAGUAGCCGUUCACUCAGGCUCAAGCUUGCGCUCAUCUGCAAGUCGUGCCCGGCCUGGCAUCUAGCACAUAACCCACCUGCCCUUGCAGCAGCACCAGGAGAUCUGGGAGCUCUUUUACAAGAGCCCUGAUGUUGCUUGCCACAAGGCAGCUGGGCUUUGCAGGCAGCUUGAAAGUAGGCUCAAAGGGUGUGGAUGUCUGCCAGGAGCAGACCCAGAGGCACCCCCCCACAGCAACAGCCACCAGUAGUACAGGAAAUUAGAACCAGGGUAAUUAUUUUACCAGUAUCUACCUUAGUUUAGCACUGCUACGGAUAUAAUCAGCAGGGACAGGGAGGCAGGCUGGGCUUUUAAACCACACCUUGAAGGAAAUCAGAGUGAGAAAGCCAGAAGCCUGACUCUGAACAUUAUUCAAAGAUCCUGCAUCAAGCAGUGACCUACUCAAUUUCAGCAGGGCAGCGCACUAGCUCAGACUGAAAAAGGCUAAUCAAAGUAUUAAUUAAGGAUUGCCUAACAACUUCAAGCCUUUUCUGCUUUCAAACUGUUCAUAAAUUAAUUCUAACUGUGUAACAAUUAAAAGUAUUUUCCCAUUUCCGAUGAACUGAACUGUAACGGAAGCGAUUGCAAAUAAACAUAAAAGACAGAUGAUAAAGAUGGUAAUAAGCAUAUUGCCACUGUGUCUUGAAUAGUCACCAACACUUCUUAGUGAAUAUCAUCUUUCACAACAACAACAAAGGAUAAGAGCACAAGGCUAUUUCAUGCAGUCAUCAAAACAAAAUGCACUGAAUAUUAUAUUUCAUACUAAAUACAUUACCCUGGCAGUUUGACACUCAACAUUUCAAUAGAUAUUGCGUCUCUCUCAACAUUCUCGCUGAAUUUCUGCAGAUGGACUUUUAAGUAUCAAUGGAAGAUUACUUUACUUGUCACACUAAAAAGAUUUUAAAGGAUGGCUGCACACACUUCAUUUUUAAUUUUUUUUUUUUAAAGGGAAACGAAACAUGAAUUGAGAAACACAGCGAUACCGAAAGGUCAAACACUGUGCUCAGCAGCAGUCCUUUGUGCGUAGUGCUCCUGCAACAGCUAAACUGUCUCUUGCCCCUGAUUUGCCCAGCAAAGGACUGGAAGCAUUUGGUAAUGCUAAACUAAACUAAACUAACGGUGUGGCCAAAUCUCACCAAUCUGUUGUGAAUCUUCAGGGUUUUUUUUGUUUGUUUGUUUGUUUUGUUUGUUUGUUUGUUUGUUUUUUACUGUGCAGGUUCCUGGAGACAUGGAAAUACAUGACAACUUCAAUUUUCACUGCAAAAACCAAGCAAGUAACCACCAAGAAAAAAAUAACCCACCAAGUUUCUGGACCUCAUGAGAACAUGAAUGUCACAGGACCACCAAAAAAAAGAAGAAAAAAAAAAAGAGAACAGCAAUGUAUUAGCCUAGAAAAUCAUGUGGAUUUUGAGGCACAAUCUUAAAGUUCUAGAAACCGGAAAGCCAGCAACGUUGAAUAAAAAAUGUAUUUAGGGUACGCUGGUCACCGGUUCCCUGCAACACAAGAGCCUUUUGCAGCUGAUGCGCACCUUCUCCCGUGUUCAAAGCGACUGCUGACCAGGUCAGACCUCAGCAGCAAUUCCUCGUCACGCACUAGAUCUCCACGCAAGCAUCGUCUCAUCCACGAUAAGCUUUGACGGGCCAUCGCUAUGAUACUCAAUAGCAAUUAAGCAUCCCUGGAAGUCGCUGCUAUUUUAGAAAUUUAAAUUUAAUUUUUUUCCAAUGGGGGAAGGGGAGGGUGUUUGUUCACUGAGAACAAGUUUCAUUACUCACACAGCAAAUCUGCCAGUAGAUGAUCGUGGAAUGGAUUGUCACCUUUCCCUAUCCAUUUUGUAAAGAUAUUGCUUUCUUUCCAGACUGCAAGCAUCACUUCUAACUGGAUUUUGAAUUAUAAUGUGAACUUUACAAAAUUAUUGGUGCUAUUCAUAUCGCUAGUUAGAUUCCACUGAAUGGCAAUAUUUCCUGCCCUUCCCCAAACCAGCACCUCUUAGUAUUUUUAUAUAAAACAACCACGGACAGCAGAAAUUGAACAUUUCCAAGUAACGUAAAAUAUUACAUUGUACCGAGUAAACAAGGAAUAAAACAUUUUUAUACUCCUUAAA